ensembl:piRNA 21ur-13108 ncRNA
UUAACAUAUGCAAAUAAGUAC